rnacentral:misc_RNA from 1 species
GAUGAAGAACGCAGCGAAAUGCGAUACUUGGUGUGAAUUGCAGAAUCCCGUGAACCAUCGAGUCUUUGAACGCAAGUUGCGCCCGAAGCCAUUAGGCCGAGGGCACGCCUGCCUGGGCGUCACACGUCGUUGCCCCCCCAUCUACUCCUUCGGGAUUGCGAGGGGCGGAUGAUGGCCUCCCGUGCGCCUCGUCGCGCGGUUGGCAUAAAUACCAAGUCCUCGGCGACGCACGCCACGACAAUCGGUGGUUGCGAAACCUCGGUUGCCCGUCGUGUGCGGUCGUCGCGCAUCGAGGGCUCGAAAAAAUUGCCGGGCUCCGGCUCGGCUUUCAACGCGACCCCAGGUCAGGCGGGGUUACCCGCUGAAUUUAAGCAUAUCAAUAAGCGGAGGA